UAAUACGUAGGGAGCAAACGUUGUCCGGAUUUAUUGGGCGUAAAGGGCUCGUAGGCGGUUCAACAAGUCGGUCGUGAAAACUCGGGGCUCAACCCCGAGACGCCGGUCGAAACUGUUGUGACUAGAGUUCGGUAGAGGUGAGUGGAAUUCUCGGCGUAGCGGUGGAUGCGCAGAUAUCGAGAGGAACACCAUUAGCGAAGGCGGCUCACUGGGCCGAUACUGACGCUGAGGAGCGAAAGCGUGGGGAGCAAACAGGAUUAGAUACCCUGGUAGUCCACGCCGUAAACGAUGAACACUAGAUGUAGCGGACUGAUUCACGUCUGCUGUGCCGCAGCUAACGCAUUAAGUGUUCCGCCUGGGGAGUACGGCUGCAAGGCUA
rnacentral:rRNA from 1 species